rnacentral:rRNA from 1 species
AGUGAACGCUGGCGGUAGGCCUAACACAUGCAAGUCGAACGGCAGCACAGUAAGAGCUUGCUCUUACGGGUGGCGAGUGGCGGACGGGUGAGGAAUACAUCGGAAUCUACUUUUUCGUGGGGGAUAACGUAGGGAAACUUACGCUAAUACCGCAUACGACCUACGGGUGAAAGCAGGGGAUCUUCGGACCUUGCGCGAUUGAAUGAGCCGAUGUCGGAUUAGCUAGUUGGCGGGGUAAAGGCCCACCAAGGCAACGAUCCGUAGCUGGUCUGAGAGGAUGAUCAGCCACACUGGAACUGAGACACGGUCCAGACUCCUACGGGAGGCAGCAGUGGGGAAUAUUGGACAAUGGGCGCAAGCCUGAUCCAGCCAUACCGCGUGGGCGAAGAAGGCCUUCGGGUUGUAAAGCCCUUUUGUUGGGAAAGAAAAGCAGCAGGUUAAUACCCCGCUGUUCUGACGGUACCCAAAGAAUAAGCACCGGCUAACUUCGUG